rnacentral:rRNA from 1 species
GCAGUCGAGCGGGGGGAGGUAGCUUGCUACCUAACCUAGCGGCGGACGGGUGAGUAAUGCUUAGGAAUCUGCCUAUUAGUGGGGGACAACAUUUCGAAAGGGAUGCUAAUACCGCAUACGCCCUAAGGGGGAAAGCAGGGGAUCUUCGGACCUUGCGCUAAUAGAUGAGCCUAAGUCGGAUUAGCUAGUUGGUGGGGUAAAGGCCUACCAAGGCGACGAUCUGUAGCGGGUCUGAGAGGAUGAUCCGCCACACUGGGACUGAGACACGGCCCAGACUCCUACGGGAGGCAGCAGUGGGGAAUAUUGGACAAUGGGGGGAACCCUGAUCCAGCCAUGCCGCGUGUGUGAAGAAGGCCUUUUGGUUGUAAAGCACUUUAAGCGAGGAGGAGGCUACCGAGAUUAAUACUCUUGGAUAGUGGACGUUACUCGCAGAAUAAGCACCGGCUAACUCUGUGCCAGCAGCCGCGGUAAUACAGAGGGUGCGAGCGUUAAUCGGAUUUACUGGGCGUAAAGCGUGCGUAGGCGGCUUUUUAAGUCGGAUGUGAAAUCCCCGAGCUUAACUUGGGAAUUGCAUUCGAUACUGGGAAGCUAGAGUAUGGGAGAGGAUGGUAGAAUUCCAGGUGUAGCGGUGAAAUGCGUAGAGAUCUGGAGGAAUACCGAUGGCGAAGGCAGCCAUCUGGCCUAAUACUGACGCUGAGGUACGAAAGCAUGGGGAGCAAACAGGAUUAGAUACCCUGGUAGUCCAUGCCGUANACGAUGUCUACUAGCCGUUGGGGCCUUUGAGGCUUUAGUGGCGCAGCUAACGCGAUAAGUAGACCGCCUGGGGAGUACGGUCGCAAGACUAAA